rnacentral:lncRNA from 1 species
AUUUUUUUCUGAGCCUUUGCAGGUGGAAUGGGCUAAAUUAAAUUUCUUCUUGGAUUGCCUCAAUUUUGACAUAUGAUUUAGCUUCCAAAAUGUAUCUCUCUCCAUAUCUUCUUCUAAUCCCUCUGUUCUUACACAUUUGGAUCCAAAAGAAAAAUAAAAUUUAUGCACUUUUCCCUCCUUUUAGGGGCAUUUUUGGAGGAAGUGAAAAAAUCCUGAGUCACUAAUUCUUCACAUUUUCGUCUGAAUAAUUUUAUUAUGCAUGUGUUCCCUGUACUCUUUGGUCUGCUGAAGGAAUAAGCAGAGCCACCUCAGACAAGGCACUCACCAGCCUUUGCUCCCUGGAGGCUAAACUACAGAGCAAAGAGUCACCAAAAAUGCCGUGUAUCUUUCUAUCCAAAGUCAAGUUUGCUGGGUGAGUUUCUGUGACAAAUAAUCAUAAUUAAUCCCAAAGUAAUGAGAGGCGAAGACAGCUGAGCUUCUGGGUCGGCUGGGGACUUGGAGAACUUUUGUGUCUAGC